rnacentral:rRNA from 1 species
AGCGGCGCACGGGUGCGGAACACGUGUGCAACCUGCCUUUAUCUGGGGGAUAGCCUUUCGAAAGGAAGAUUAAUACCCCAUAAUAUAUUGAGUGGCAUCACUUGAUAUUGAAAACUCCGGUGGAUAGAGAUGGGCACGCGCAAGAUUAGAUAGUUGGUGAGGUAACGGCUCACCAAGUCAAUGAUCUUUAGGGGGCCUGAGAGGGUGAUCCCCCACACUGGUACUGAGACACGGACCAGAUUCCUACGGGAGGCAGCAGUGAGGAAUAUUGGACAAUGGGUGAGAGCCUGAUCCAGCCAUCCCGCGUGAAGGACGACUGCCCUAUGGGUUGUAAACUUCUUUUAUACUGGGAUAAACCUACCCUUCGUGAGGGUAGCUGAAGGUACAGUAUGAAUAAGCACCGGCUAACUCCGUGCCAGCAGCCGCGGUAAUACGGAGGGUGCAAGCGUUAUCCGGAUUUAUUGGGUUUAAAGGGUCCGUAGGCGGACUCGUAAGUCAGUGGUGAAAUCUCAUAGCUUAACUAUGAAACUGCCAUUGAUACUGCGGGUCUUGAGUAAAGUAGAAGUGGCUGGAAUAAGUAGUGUAGCGGUGAAAUGCAUAGAUAUUACUUAGAACACCAAUUGCGAAGGCAGGUCACUAUGUUUUAACUGACGCUGAUGGACGAAAGCGUGGGGAGCGAACAGGAUUAGAUACCCUGGUAGUCCACGCCGUAAACGAUGCUAACUCGUUUUUGGGUUUUCGGAUUCAGAGACUAAGCGAAAGUGAUAAGUUAGCCACCUGGGGAGUACGUUCGCAAGAAUGAAACUCAAAGGAAUUGACGGGGGCCCGCACAAGCGGUGGAUUAUGUGGUUUAAUUCGAUGAUACGCGAGGAACCUUACCAAGGCUUAAAUGGGAAUUGACAGGUUUAGAAAUAGAUCCUUCUUCGGACAAUUUUCAAGGUGCUGCAUGGUUGUCGUCAGCUCGUGCCGUGAGGUGUUAGGUUAAGUCCUGCAACGAGCGCAACCCCUGUCACUAGUUGCCAUCAUUCAGUUGGGGACUCUAGUGAGACUGCCUACGCAAGUAGAGAGGAAGGUGGGGAUGACGUCAAAUCAUCACGGCCCUUACGCCUUGGGCCACACACGUAAUACAAUGGCCGGUACAGAGGGCAGCUACUAUGCGAAUAGAUGCGAAUCUCGAAAGCCGGUCU